UGUUACAAUGGGGGGUACAGAGGGCCGCUACCACGCGAGUGGAUGCCAAUCCCCAAAACCUCUCUCAGUUCGGACUGGAGUCUGCAACCCGACUCCACGAAGCUGGAUUCGCUAGUAAUCGCGCAUCAGCCACGGCGCGGUGAAUACGUUCCCGGGCCUUGUACACACCGCCCGUCAAGCCAUGGGAGCCGGGGGUACCUGAAGUGCGUAACCGCGAGGAGCGCCCUAGGGUAAAACUGGUGACUGGGGCUAAGUCGUAACAAGGUAUC
rnacentral:rRNA from 1 species